rnacentral:rRNA from 1 species
UACGAGGGGGGCAAAUGUUGUUCGGAAUCACUGGGCGUAAAGGGAGCGUAGGCGGGUUUUUAAGUCAGGGGUGAAAUCCUGGAGCUCAACUCCAGAACUGCCUUUGAUACUGAGGAUCUUGAGUUCGGGAGAGGUGAGUGGAACUGCGAGUGUAGAGGUGAAAUUCGUAGAUAUUCGCAAGAACACCAGUGGCGAAGGCGGCUCACUGGCCCGAUACUGACGCUGAGGCACGAAAGCGUGGGGAGCAAACAGG